rnacentral:rRNA from 1 species
UACGGAGGGAGCUAGCGUUGUUCGGAAUUACUGGGCGUAAAGCGCACGUAGGCGGCUUUGUAAGUUAGAGGUGAUAGCUGGAGCUCAACUCCAGAAUUGCCUUUAAGACUGCAUCGCUUGAAUCCAGGAGAGGCGAGUGGAAUUCCGAGUGUAGAGGUGAAAUUCGUAGAUAUUCGGAAGAACGCCAGUGGCGAAGGCGUCUCACUGGACUGGUAUUGACGCUGAGGUGCGAAAGCGUGGGGAGCAAACAGGAUUAGAUACCCUG